CCUCCUUCUGCACCACCCUGACCCCAGCAUUUUUGAGAAUUGGCAGGGCAGAGCAACCUAGUGCUAGAAAAACCACAGGCUAACAGCUCACGGCUCCUGCCUCCACAUGCCGGCUGCCAGCUGGUGUGGGGUGCUGGGGCCAGUCCCUCCCCAGGCCGGGGCUGCAGUUUCCCUCUUCAGAUCCUAAGAUGCUGGAACAGACACUCUCUGAGCCCCUCCCUGCUCCAGCAUGAGGCACGCGCACACCUUCCGUCUUGCUUUCUGCAAAGGUGGCUGGAGGCAGAGUUCAGCUGCCAUUUGCAAGGCUACCCCCAGCCUUCGUGUCUUUGGGGGUCGGUUUCUAAUAACACAAGCACACACAGCACAUUCUGGGGUGAGUCAAAUGUGAAUUCCCCGUGACCCUCCCUCAGGCCCUGCCUCCCUCCCCCAAAGGGGACUGCCCCCAUCAGUGCAGGGACCACCCUUGUGGCUCUUUGAAGGGCAUCCACUUUCGUGGACACUGCAGAUGCAGAAAGAGUUCCGCAUCGGGGCGCCUGGGUGGCUCAGUCCGUUUCGGCUCAGGUCAUGAUCUCACAGUUCGUGAGUUCGAGCCCCGUCUCGGGCUCUGUGCUGACAGCUCAGAGCCUGGAGCCUGCUUCGGAUUCUGUGCCUCCCUCUCUCUCUCUGCCCCUCCCCUGCUCACGCUCUGUCUCUCUCUGUCUCUCAAUAACAAAUAAACGUUAAAAAAAAAAUUUAAAAAAAAAAAGAAAGUUCUGCAGGGAUUGGCAGUUUGUUUUUUAAUAUAAAUGGGACUCUACUGCUCGAGUCGCGCUGCAACCUGCUCUUUUCUCUUCGCGGCUGUCUGGGGCAGAUGUCCAUGUCUGAAUGGAGAGAUCACCCCCCCAGUUUGCUGCACUGCUCUAGAAUAUGCCAUAGUAUGCACGCUCUGGAGUUCACCUGCCCGUUCUCCUCACUGUCAAACACCUUCUAGGUUUCUAAUCUUCCAUUAUUCCACACAAGGCUGCCACAGGCUUGUGCUCAGCGCUCCCUGGGCUUGCGAGGCUGCGGGACACGCCGUUUCUGCGCAAGGUCGUUGGGAGCCGCUCUCAAGGCCACUCGAGUUCAGAUCCCCAGUGCAGUUCCCAGCUGUGUGGCCCGGGACGACUCACUGGCCCUCUCUGAGAACUCCCGGAGGAGCAGGGUGUCUUUACAGCAUGCGACAGAGCAGGGGGAGCGGAAGUUCCUGGAGUCUACAAGCUUCCCCACCACUGCCUCCGUCAUCGCAUUCCAGAACCCAGAACCAAAGGCCACCUCCUGAGUCCACUGGUCCCAUCCACUGGCCUUUAGGGGCAGGUCCACCCUGGUCCCAGGUAACCUCCCCAAGACAGAAAUGUAGACUGCCUACAAAAUAA
rnacentral:lncRNA from 1 species